rnacentral:rRNA from 1 species
UACGGAGGAUCCAAGCGUUAUCCGGAAUCAUUGGGUUUAAAGGGUCCGCAGGCGGUUUUUUAAGUCAGAGGUGAAAGCCAACAGCUCAACUGUUGAACUGCCUUUGAUACUGGAAAUCUUGAGUACAAAUGAAGUAGGCGGAAUGAGUCAUGUAGCGGUGAAAUGCAUAGAUAUGACUCAGAACACCGAUUGCGAAGGCAGCUUACUAGGCCUGGAUUGACGCUCAGGGACGAAAGCGUGGGUAGCGAACAGG